rnacentral:rRNA from 1 species
CGUGUAGGCGGGAAUGUAAGUCAGAUGUGAAAUCCCAGAGCUUAACUCUGGAGCUGCAUCUGAAACUAUGUUUCUUGAGUGUCGGAGAGGAAAGCGGAAUUCCUAGUGUAGCGGUGAAAUGCGUAGAUAUUAGGAGGAACACCAGUGGCGAAGGCGGCUUUCUGGACGAUAACUGACGCUGAGGCGCGAAAGCGUGGGGAGCAAACAGGAUUAGAUACCCUGGUAGUCCACGCUGUAAACGAUGGAUACUAGGUGUAGGAGGUAUCGACCCCUUCUGUGCCGGAGUUAACACAAUAAGUAUCCCACCUGGGGAGUACGGCCGCAAGGUUGAA